rnacentral:tRNA from 1 species
AAGUGUAGCUAAAUUAGUACAGCAUCUCCCUUACACCGAGAAGUAACCCGUGCAAUUCGGGUCACCUUGAAC